rnacentral:lncRNA from 1 species
UACAAUGCAGAUUUUAAAAAUCCAAAUCCAAAUCCGACGGAUUUUAAAAUUCAUAUCCAAAAUCGAGCCAACCAAAAAUAUGAAUCCGAAUUCAAAAUAAUUAUUUUUCUUUACCACGUUUCAAAACAUAUUAUAUUAAAAUUCUAAAAUAAAAAUUUAAAUAUAAUAUCAAAUAUUCAUAUAUAUUAUACGAUAUAAAAUCAACUCAGAUUUGGGUCGGGUUGGGACAAAAUUCAUAACUAAAUUUAAAUCCGUCGGAUUUUUAUUUUUCAUACUUAUAUCCGAAAUUAUAUCCGUUUAGCAUCAAAUAAACCCAUCCUAUUCGAUUUUGGAUUCAGAUAAAACUUUGAAUAUUCGUAUCCAUCGGCAUCCCUA